UUGAAAGGGAAACGAUUGAAGUCAGUCGUACCUAUGGGUAAUCAGCCUUUUGGGUGUGAUUUUGUGGAGCGUGAGGAGUUAAACGCCUUCAUGCCUGCAUAUUCGUGCACUUUGGGUGUACUUGCCCGUAUGGUUGGUUAACAUCAAUUUUGGUGGUCAUAAAAUGACUGGAGGAAUGUAGCUUCGAUCUCGUAUUGAAGUGUUAUAGCCUUCGGUAGAUGUGAUGAUUGAGAUUGAGGAUUGCAACGGAUACCUUUCGGGGCUACCUGUCUGAUCUCUGACCGUUGCUCUGGUGCCGAAAGCUUGCUUACGGUCAUCAAAGUCGAUGGUCAAUAGGUUAGAACGGGUUAAAUUCGUUAAGGAUGUUGACGUA
rnacentral:rRNA from 1 species